CUGGAAGUAGCUUAUUAAAAGUUUGGGAUUCUUACUCCCAAGAUGUACCGGCUGUAAGGUAUUUUUCAGG
rnacentral:tRNA from 1 species